AUUGAACGCUGGCGGCAUGCUUUACACAUGCAAGUCGAACGGCAGCGCGGGCUUCGGCCUGGCGGCGAGUGGCGAACGGGUGAGUAAUGCAUCGGAACGUGCCCAGUAGUGGGGGAUAGCCCGGCGAAAGCCGGAUUAAUACCGCAUACGACCUGAGGGUGAAAGCGGGGGACCGAAAGGCCUCGCGCUAUUGGAGCGGCCGAUGUCGGAUUAGCUAGUUGGUGGGGUAAAGGCUUACCAAGGCGACGAUCCGUAGCUGGUCUGAGAGGACGAACAGCCACACUGGGACUGAGACACGGCCCAGACUCCUACGGGAGGCAGCAGUGGGGAAUUUUGGACAAUGGGGGCAACCCUGAUCCAGCCAUGCCGCGUGCGGGAAGAAGGCCUUCGGGUUGUAAACCGCUUUUGUUCGGGAAGAAAUCCUCUGGGCUAAUACCCCGGGGGGAUGACGGUACCGGAAGAAUAAGCACCGGCUAACUACGUG
rnacentral:rRNA from 1 species